AUUACCCCUUUAUUUCACCUUAUUUGCAAGAAACCCAUUAUAUGUGGACUAGGUUGGAAGGGCAAUUUUGUCCUGUCGGUUUUGGCUAAAUUUUGGGGUUGCCGUGUAGGGUUGCAUUUGCUGCCCUUCAUUGAUGGUUUCGGGGAAUUGAGGCUCUGACAGAGAGCGGAAGAAACAGAGAGAGAGAGAGAGAGAGAUGCCGAGAGCGGAAGAAACAGAGAGAGAGAGAGAGAGAGAAAGAGAGAGAGAUGCCGAUGGGAAGACAGCGCAGGGGAGAGGUAUGGAUGAUGGAUUUCAAAACUGGGAAAGUGGGUUUUGUCUUCUCGGUUUUGACUGAAUUCGAGGGUUGUUGUGUACAGUUUCAUUUGCUGUCCUUGAAUGAGGGUUUCGGGGGGAUGGAGACUCUGACAGAGAGCGGAAGAAAGAGAGAGAGAGAGAGAGAUGACGAUGGAAAGAGAGCGAAGGGGAGAGGUAUGAGUCAUGGAUUUCAGAAGUGGGAGAGUGGGGAUGGUCAGAGAAAACCAUACGGGUUAUCCGGAUCUACCGCUGCAUGCCUAGAUUUCGAAAGAUAAGUGCUUUUUAAAUUUUUUUUUUUUUUCUAUCAGCUUAGAAAGAUAAGUGAUUUUGAAAAAUAAGUGGAUUAUUUUCGAAUUUUUUAGUGUGUAAGGUCAGAUUUUGGGGGAAUCAUCAGAGAUAUUAAUUUCCCUUAUUAGUUUGCUUUUCUCUCAUUUUGCACAUUCAUCUCUCUGUCUGCCUGUUUGUUCUCUGUCUUAAGGUCGGUUCUUUUUUUUUUUUUUUUUUUUUGGGUUUUUUGUAUGGCUUUUUUUUUUCUUUUUGUUUUCCAGGUUAUAGAUCUAAUGCUCCUUUGUAUACCAAUCUUCGUUUUGUUUUUCUUGGAAAAUUGUUUUUAUCUGAUUGUGGAUUCGUGGGUUUUAAUUUCUAUGGUUUGUUGCAGGUUGCAAAGCAAGAGGUUCUCACCUCAAGAUUCAGUUUAAGACCAUCAUGAGGAUCACCACACCCAUGAUCAUGUUCAUGAUCCUGAUGUUUCUUCUGUCAGCAUAGUUUGUGAAAGGAACUUAGAACUUGAAAAGGCUAACAUAUGGCUUGGUACACUGUUGUUGAAACGAAGUGAGGACAUAUAUCGUAUGAAAGGUCUUCUAUCAGUUCAAGGAAUGAAAAAGAGAUUUGUCUUCCAGGGAAAUACUUCAUUUAAGGAAAAGCCUGAAAUAAUGUUGUCAAGUGCUAUACUGAAGCUAUCAGAUUGAACAUGAUGUGUGCAACUUAGACUGCAACCAUGCAAUUGCUUACUUGGAGGUAAUAGUCAUUCUAUUGCAUGCAUAUCUUUAGAAUCUUUGUUUUUUAUAACUAUUGGUGAAAGCACUGCAGACCAAAUCAUGUUAUAUAUGCUUAUUGUAAACAGUUAUGUUUGUAAAUUUGAAGCCCAAAUUAACAUAAUUUUCUCCCCUGUUUGACCAUGCAUUUAUGAAUGUUGGAUUAAAAUAUGUUUAUUUUUGGGAAGAAAUGAGACGGUUGGUUUGAGUUUUAGAAGCCUUUGUUUUUCUGCCUUUUAUGGCAAUGAAAAAAAAGGGGGAAAACAUUGGUCUUAAUUGUAAUUUCCAAUUCUUUACGCUGUUAGUAGUUAAAAUUAGGGGAAUGGCUAUUAAUAUAAUUUUUGGUGUAUUUCAAGUUUCUAAUUCACAAACUGAGUGAAGGUCACAAUAAGCAUUAGUCACUACGAGAGUGUUGGACUAUCCUCAUUUUGGAACCAGGUUUAAGAGGCCCCUGACAAUGACAUUGAAACGGAUUUAUUCUCUACGAUUCUCUGGUUAGGGUAAGCAUUUUGGUGAGCUUUGAUUUUGUGAGGCAAAGCGCGGGCAGUCCUGCUAGUUAUCUAUUCUAAAACUGAGGAGCAAUUGACUGUUCAUUGGGCCACAGUCAAUUGUUUGCCUCUUGAUUUCAUCUUAUUUACAAAAAAACCAUGAGAAUUGGGCUGGGUUUGAAGGAUAUUAUUUGAACUGAUAAGGGUGAUUUUGUCCGGAGGGUUUUGGACGAAUUACCCCUUCAUUUCACCUUAUUUGCAAGAAACCCAUUAUAUGUGGACUAGGUUGGAAGGGCAAUUUUGUCCUCUCGGUUUUGAGUGAAUUAAGGGGUUGCCGUGUAAGGGUUGCAUUUGCUGUCCUUCACUGAUAGUUUCGGGGAAAUGAAGCUCUCACAGAGAGCGGAAGAAACGG